GCCUACGGCCAUACCAGUCUGAUAGUGCCUGAUCUCGUCAGAUCUCAGAAGUUAUGCAGACUUGGGCCUGCUUAGUUCUUGUAUGGGAGACCAACUAGGAACCUCAGGUGCCUUAAGCU
rnacentral:rRNA from 1 species